GACGAACGCUGGCGGCGUGCUUAACACAUGCAAGUCGAACGGUGAAGCUCCAGCUUGCUGGAGUGGAUCAGUGGCGAACGGGUGAGUAACACGUGAGCAACCUGCCCCUGACUCUGGAAUAAGCGCUGGAAACGGCGUCUAAUACUGGAUACGAGAAGGGUCCGCAUGGGCACUUUCUGGAAAGUUUUUCGGUUGGGGAUGGGCUCGCGGCCUAUCAGCUUGUUGGUGAGGUAAUGGCUAACCAAGGCGACGACGGGUAGCCGGCCUGAGAGGGCGACCGGCCACACUGGGACUGAGACACGGCCCAGACUCCUACGGGAGGCAGCAGUGGGGAAUAUUGCACAAUGGGCGAAAGCCUGAUGCAGCGACGCCGCGUGAGGGAUGACGGCCUUCGGGUUGUAAACCUCUUUCAGCAGGGAAGAAGCGAAAGUGACGGUACCUGCAGAAGAAGCACCGGCUAACUACGUG
rnacentral:rRNA from 1 species